GGCGGCGUGCUUAACACAUGCAAGUCGAACGAAGCACCUUGAUUUGAUUCUUCGGAUGAAUAUCUUGGUGACUGAGUGGCGGACGGGUGAGUAACGCGUGGGUAACCUGCCUCAUACAGGGGGAUAACAGUUAUAAAUGACUGCUAAUACCGCAUAAGCACCACAGCACCGCAUGGUGCAAGGGUAAUAAACUCCGGUGGCUAUUAGAUGGACCCGCGAUCUGAUUAAGUACUCUGGUGGGGUAACGGCCUACCAAGCCGACGAUCAGUAUCCGACCUGAGAGGGUGACCGGCCACAUUGGGACUGAUACACGGCCCAAACUCCUAUCGGGUAGGCAGCAGUGGGGAAUAUUGCACAAUGGGGGAAACCCUGAUGCAGCGACGCCGCGUUGAGCGAUGAAGUAUUUCGGUAUGUAAAGCUCUAUCAGCAUGGAAGAAAAUGACGGUACCUGACUAAGAAGCACCGGCUAAAUACGUGCCACCAGCCGCGGUAAUACGUAUGGUGCAAGCGUGAUCCGGAUCUACUGGGUGUACAGGGAGCGUAGACGGAGUGGCAAGUCUGAUGUGAAACCCCG
rnacentral:rRNA from 1 species